UACGGAGGGUGCGAGCGUUAUCCGGAUUUAUUGGGUUUAAAGGGUUCGUAGGCGGCUUAAUAAGUCAGUGGUGAAAUCUCAUAGCUUAACUAUGAAACUGCCAUUGAUACUGUUAAGCUUGAAUAUGUUUGAAGUAGCUAGAAUGUGUAGUGUAGCGGUUAAAUGCAUAGAUAUUACGCGGAAUACCAAUUGCGAAGGCAGGUUACUAAGACAUUAUUGACGCUGAUGGACGAAAGCGUGGGGAGCGAACAGG
rnacentral:rRNA from 1 species